AUUGAACGCUGGCGGCAUGCCUUACACAUGCAAGUCGAACGGCAGCACGGGAGCAAUCCUGGUGGCGAGUGGCGAACGGGUGAGUAAUAUAUCGGAACGUGCCCAGUCGUGGGGGAUAACGCAGCGAAAGCUGUGCUAAUACCGCAUACGAUCUCUGGAUGAAAGCGGGGGACCUGCAAGGGCCUCGCGCGAUUGGAGCGGCCGAUAUCAGAUUAGCUAGUUGGUGGGGUAAAAGCCCACCAAGGCGACGAUCUGUAGCUGGUCUGAGAGGACGACCAGCCACACUGGAACUGAGACACGGUCCAGACUCCUACGGGAGGCAGCAGUGGGGAAUUUUGGACAAUGGGCGCAAGCCUGAUCCAGCAAUGCCGCGUGCAGGAUGAAGGCCU
rnacentral:rRNA from 1 species